rnacentral:rRNA from 1 species
UUCCUUGAACCGCAUGGUUACAAGGAUGAAAGACGGUUUCGGCUGUCACUUACAGAUCUGGACCCGCGGCGCAUUAGCUAGUUGGUGGGGUAAUGGCUCACCAAGGCGACGAUGCGUAGCCGACCUGAGAGGGUGAUCGGCCAGCACUGGGACUGAGACACGGCCCAGACUCCUACGGGAGGCAGCAGUAGGGAAUCUUCCUGCAAUGGACGAAAGUCUGACGGAGCAACGCCGCGUGAGUGAUGAAGGUUUUCGCGAUCGUAAAGCUCUGUUGUUAGGGAAGAACAAGUGCGAGAGUAACUGCUCGCACCUUGACGGUACCUGACAACCAGAAAGCCACGGCUAACUACGUGCCAGCAGAGCCGCAGGUAAUACGUAGGUGGCAUCAGCGUGUGUCCGGAAUUAUUGGGCGUAAAGGGCUCGCAGGCGGUUUCUUAAGUCUGAUGUGAAAGCCCCCGGCUCAACCGGGGAGGGUCAUUGGAAACUGGGAAACUUGAGUGCAGAAGAGGAGAGUGGAAUUCCACGUGUAGCGUGUGAAAUGCGCUAGAGAUGUGGAGGAACACCAGUGGCGAAAGCGACUCUCUGGUCUGUAACUGACGCU